AACGACCUUGGUUAAAUCAGCCGAGUUAAUCUUAAUCCGAGUCACAAAUCCCGCUGUCUCAGCUCCCCUGAGCUUAAGCGCUCCAAAACCGGUUCUUAGUCCCGACCCCUGAGAACCCAACCAAAACCGUCGGUUCUUUCUAAGUCCAGAGGCAGUGUUCCUUUCAAUCUUGGAGCUGUGGAACAACCGAGACUGACUGGUGGACCUGAAAUCUUUUUCGGAUCUCCCGACACAGACGCGCCCGAGUAGCAUGCGCCCGCUUCAGAGCUUUCCCGCUGCGUGGCUUGAUCUCUCUGACGCCCACCGCUUGACCCAGUCGCCGGCCGCGACAGGAUGGAUCCACGCGCCCUCCUCCCCAAUCGCAGCGGAAGUCCCUUUGCAAUCCUUUC
rnacentral:lncRNA from 1 species